UACGUAGGUGGCAAGCGUUGUCCGGAUUUACUGGGCGUAAAGGGCGUGCAGGCGGCUUGUUAAGUGCAGGGUGAAAGCUCCCGGCUCAACUGGGAGAGGUUCUUGCAUACUGGCGAGCUCGAGGGAGGCAGAGGAAAGUGGAAUUCCCGGUGUAGUGGUGAUAUGCGUAGAUAUCGGGAGGAACACCUGUGGCGAAAGCGGCCUGCUGGAUCUCUACUGACGCUGAGGCGCGAAAGCCAGGGGAGCAAACGGG
rnacentral:rRNA from 1 species